CCUGUAGGACCUUCUACACUUCAAAGUGAAUGUAUUUGUAUAUUUAUCCUGAAAUAGGUCCUUAAUAGGCUAUACAUUAUUAGAAGGGGGAUUCUUCACUUGCAUGUGAAAGGGUUAAAUGCAACUAUUCAUUGUUGUCACACUAUGCCAUCAAAACUAACUUUGUGUUUUUUUUCUUCUUCAUUUGCAUAUUUAUGGGACACUGAAGACCAUUCAAAGCUCACGGCAGAAAAGAUGGCACAGGUGUGGAAGGUCGUCGAAUUCAAAGAUAGGAGCACUACCAUAGUGCCAAGCAGCUGGUUGGAGGAGGCAGGGGAGUCAUGGAAUUGUUUCUGGCCUCCUAGUUCUUAUGAUCAUAUCCGCCUCCAGAAGGCAGUCGCGCACCACCUUCCUCCAGGUGCAGCGUGGGACGUGCACGGUGACGUGAGGGUCUUGGUUAGCUGUGCAACAUAUGUUAAGGCAAAGGACUACCUGAAAAAGUCCUUACAGUGCUUAACAUCAGACAAGACCCUAUCAGAAGGAAAAGAAGGUAAAA